rnacentral:snRNA from 1 species
GGAACAGGCUUCGGCCUACAACACACAUACAGUUAGGCGCAUUGCCACAUAUUUUGUGGCAUCUAACUGCUGUUUUUA